rnacentral:rRNA from 1 species
AGUGAACGCUGGCGGUAGGCCUAACACAUGCAAGUCGAACGGCAGCACAGUAAGAGCUUGCUCUUACGGGUGGCGAGUGGCGGACGGGUGAGGAAUACAUCGGAAUCUACUUUUUCGUGGGGGAUAACGUAGGGAAACUUACGCCAAUACCGCAUACGACCUACGGGUGAAAGCAGGGGAUCUUCUGACCUUGCGCGAUUGAAUGAGCCGAUGUCGGAUUAGCUAGUUGGCGGGGUAAAGGCCCACCAAGGCGACGAUCCGUAGCUGGUCUGAGAGGAUGAUCGGCCACACGGGAAGUGGGACACGGUCCAGGGUCCUACGGGAGGCAGCAGUGGGGAAUAGUGGACAAUGGGCGCAAGCCUGAUCCAGCCAUACCGCGUGGGUGAAGAAGGCGUUCGGGUUGUAAAGCCCGUUUGUUGGGAAAGAAAAGCAGCAGGUUAAUACCCCGCUGUUCUGACGGUACCCAAAGAAUAAGCACCGGCUAACUUCGUG